CCUGUUUUUAAAUUUGUGAAAAGAGUAUCAAGUUUUCUCGUUUUUUGAAUAACCCUUUUCUCCUAUUCUUCGUGCUCUUCUCGCAAUUUUUAGUACUAUGCGCCACUUUUUCUCGAUCUACCAUCACUCAUUAUGACGUAAUUUGAAAAAAUAAAAAUAAAUAAAGACAACAAGUCGUUAAUUGCACUGUCGCAGUGUCGCG